rfam:Ictidomys tridecemlineatus contig029043, whole genome shotgun sequence.
GGGAUUGUAGCUCCGUGGUAGAGUGCUUGCCUCACAUGCAUGAGGUCCUGGGUUCGAUCCUCAGCACCA